GCGGGAGUAGUUCAGUGGUAGAGCGUCUGCUUCCCAAGCAGGAUGUCGCGGGUUCGAAUCCCGUCUCCCGCUCCA
rnacentral:tRNA from 1 species